rnacentral:rRNA from 1 species
CCUACGGGAGGCAGCAGUGAGGAAUAUUGGUCAAUGGACGAGAGUCUGAACCAGCCAAGUAGCGUGAAGGAUGACUGCCCUAUGGGUUGUAAACUUCUUUUAUAUGGGAAUAAAAUGUUCCACGUUUGGGAUUUUGUAUGUACCAUAUGAAUAAGGAUCGGCUAACUCCGUGCCAGCAGCCGCGGUAAUACGGAGGAUCCGAGCGUUAUCCGGGUUUAUUGGGUUUAAAGGGAGCGUAGGUGGAUUGUUAAGUCAGUUGUGAAAGUGUGCGGCUCAACCGUAAAAUUGCAGUUGAAACUGGCAGUCUUGAGUACAGUAGAGGUGUGCGGAAUGCGUGGUGUAGCGGUGAAAUGCUUAGAUAUCACGAAGAACUCCGAUUGCGAAGGCAGUUCACUGGACUGCAACUGACACUGAGGCUCGAAAGUGUGGGUAUCAAACAGGAUUAGAUACCCCUGUAGUC